CUCAGCACGCAUAAAGCAGAAUGGAAUAACAGCAAACAACAUUGGAGGAGGACUUGUCUGGGAGAGCAGCCAUUUUAAAGAAGAGCACAUUAAGUCACAAACAGUCGCAGCUGAUCUACUUUGCAGCAUCGCCAUACAUGCCUAACUAAAUAUUGAAAUCCCGGGAAAAACUCACUGUGCAUCAUGUUCCAGAAACUAGCUUUGCAAACAGUCUUUUCAGAUGUGUACAUUUUGUGUAUUUGAG
rnacentral:lncRNA from 10 species